CUCAGAAAUUGAGUUUUACUUGCUUCUUACUUAAGGAUCCCUUUCAUACCCUUUUUGUAUGAAUGUUGAGCUCGGAGGCUAUUAGUCAAUGUCUAUGAGUUUGUUAAGCCUAGCUUCAUGGAUCCUUAGAUCACGUUUUGAUUUUUUAUUGAGAGAAAAAUAUCUUCCAUCUUUUUUGAAUUGAGGUUGUUAAUUGUGGCUAUUAGACGCAGGCUUCAUCUAUGUGGCUGGAUGAAUUGGUGAUCUUGGAGCCAGAGUUGGAUGAAUUGGUGGUCUUGGAGCCACAGUUGGUGUGGCCUUACCACAUCAUCUUCGAUGCACCUCAAUGAAAGAUUGAUUUCGGUCAAUAGAUAUCUCCCGCAA
rnacentral:lncRNA from 1 species